rnacentral:sRNA from 1 species
AACGAGGGUCAGUAGGAUGGCAAGCGGUGGAACUGAUGACGGGAAAGGAUAUUCUCCUGCCUACCGAGGACCAUUUCGCUGGUGAAUGAGUUGACACACCACAUAAGUGUGAGAGUUAGCGACCCUGGAUAUAAUGCCCAAACGUGGAGUCUCCAGCUGAUCCCAGGAGUACGGGGUUCUCUAGAUACGAUCGUCCCUCAGGGUGACCCAAGACCAGGGCAGACGAUAAAAGGUUCCCCUGGAGGUGUGGAUGGAUGUGUAUCUUCAAGGAUGAUGCAUUAGACAUCAUGCGUCUAGCUAGCUCUUAGCACUGCAGGGUGGCUAUCGGAAGCUCUCCUUGCAUAUAGCCGAGAAAAGUACUACUAUGAAUAGUAAUGGUGGUGGUGAUGACGAUAUGGGCGAAAGGCAUUUCACUCCGGGAGGAUGGAUUCCGUGCUUCUGCACCUCCUGAUGAAACUAAAAGAUGCAUCCCCACGCUAAUCCAGCCGUUCCGCUUAGCUUGUUAUCUGAU